GAGGAGACAGUGUUUGCUCAGAGCAGGCGCUACUGACAGAGCUGGCUUCUUCCUCCCUCAAGGAUCUUCCUCCUUGAAUUCAUGUAGAGACAGUUGCGGUUUAAACAGAACCUGACACACUUGGUGAACAAACAGUGGGUGAGGGGUGCUUAGGUCUGGCUCCUGCUGUGUUCUGCUGAUGUGAGGUUGUGAACAUGGAAGGCGGGUCUAACCCCCAUCGCUUGCUUCACAGACUGCUCCCUUCCGGGCUCAAAAAUGCUAACCUCCAAUUGCUGCAUGCAUGUCAUGGUAUAAGCUGGGAAACAAGAAAUGACUCGCUAGGACUGUAAAGCCAACUUCCAGGAGAUGUGAGAGUCCGUAUAUAUUUAGGAGUUUUCUGUGGGGGAACCACUGGUGUCUACGAGGGCUAGAUGUGGAGUCAGAUGUGGAGGGCUAGAUGUGGGCAGAGUCAGUAGAAGAACAUGCAGUGACAGAAGAUGGCGGGAAAUCUUGCUCAGGGCGCGUGUUCUCAGCCUGGCAACGAGGAAAAAGGAGACGAGGAGGCCAGAGGUCACAAAGGGGCCCCCUGUGCAGACCCCACUGUUUAGUUCUCUGUCUAGCCAGACAUGUAUGUGACUGGGGCUCUUUCUGUCCAAAGGUGUGCGCGAGGCUCUGCCUGGUUCCAAUGGAAGCCUAAAGGGUAGACCAACGGGGGGGGGGGGGGGGCUGUCACACCUCUAAUCCUCAGGCCUCAGGCGGAGAAUACUUUUUCUUUUCUGCUUCCUGAAUCCUUGGGAGUUUGCCUCCAUUUUGGCAAGAAGGAGAAGGGGCCAGAGUUAUGCCAAGCUCUAUUUGAUUAUGGGUCUUACUUAGUACUUGUUUCCUGAAGAAUCCAGAGGAGGUAUGGAGGCAGGAGGCUGGGAUGGAGAACCAGGGUGUGAGGUAAACAGUCCCAGAAACAGUUUCCGGUCACUGUGUGGACUGCAGGGGAAUUGGGGCAGGUGGCUGACGUGAAAUGGUCACUGUCAUAGCAUCUUGGUGCUGUAAGGUGAAUUAAAACAAGAAAGGGUUUGCAGGAGUCGGGUGGUAGCGCAGCGUGUUAGGUGCACGUGGCCCAAAGUAUAAGCACCAGCAUAAGGAUCCUGGUUCGAGCCCCUGGCUCCCCACCUGCAGGGGGGUCACUUCACAAGCGGUGAAGCAGGUCUGCAGGUGUCUGUCUUUCUCUCUCUCGCUGUCUUCCCCUCCUCUCUCCAUUUCUCUCUGUCCUAUCCAACAACAACGACAUUAAUAACCACAGCAAUGUUAAACAAGGGCAACAAAAAAAUAAUAAAUAUAACAACAACAACAACAACAAUAACUACAACAACAAUAAAAAUAAGAGCAACAAAAGGAAAAUAAAUAAAUAUGAAAAAAUAAAAUUAAAAUAAAAUAAACUCAUAUUUAAAAAAAAAAAACAAGAGGUUGCUACAUAGGGAUGAGCAUAUUGCCUUCUUAGCCUACAUAAGAAGAUUCCAAACCAAGACUGUUGCUAGUCUAACAAUUCAAGAUUAAAAACACGGGAGUCAGGUGGUGGCGCAUUGGGUUAAGCGCAUGUGGUGUGAAGCUCAAGGACUGGCAGAAGGAUUCUGGUUUGAGACCUCGGAUCCCGGUUCAAGACCCUGGCUCCCCACCUGCAGGGGGUCGCUUCACAGGCAGUGAAGCAGGUCUGCAGGUGUCUGUCUUUCUCUCCCCCUCUCUGUCUUCCCCAUCUCUCUCUAUUUUUCUCUGUCUUAUCCAACAAUGACGACACCAAUAACUACAACAAUAAAAUAACAAG